rnacentral:rRNA from 1 species
AUACGGAGGGUGCAAGCGUUAAUCGGAAUUACUGGGCGUAAAGCGUACGUAGGCGGUCCGUUAAGUUAGAUGUGAAAGCCCCGGGCUUAACCUGGGAACUGCAUUUAAAACUGGCGGACUAGAGUUGAGUAGAGGGGAGUGGAAUUUCAGGUGUAGCGGUGAAAUGCGUAGAGAUCUGAAGGAACACCAGUGGCGAAGGCGACUCCCUGGACUCGAACUGACGCUGAGGUACGAAAGCGUGGGUAGCAAACGGGAUUAGAAACCCCUGUAGUCC